AUUGAACGCUGGCGGCAGGCUUAACACAUGCAAGUCGAGCGGAGAUGAGGUGCUUGCACCUUAUCUUAGCGGCGGACGGGUGAGUAAUGCUUAGGAAUCUGCCUAUUAGUGGGGGACAACAUUCCGAAAGGAAUGCUAAUACCGCAUACGCCCUACGGGGGAAAGCAGGGGAUCUUCGGACCUUGCGCUAAUAGAUGAGCCGAAGUCGGAUUAGCUAGUUGGUGGGGUAAAGGCCUACCAAGGCGACGAUCUGUAGCGGGUCUGAGAGGAUGAUCCGCCACCCUGGGACUGAGACACGGCCCAGACUCCUACGGGAGGCAGCAGUGGGGAAUAUUGGACAAUGGGCGGAAGCCUGAUCCAGCCAUGCCGCGUGUGUGAAGAAGGCCUUUUGGUUGUAAAGCACUUUAAGCGAGGAGGAGGCUACCUGGAUUAAUACUCUAGGAUAGUGGACGUUACUCGCAGAAUAAGCACCGGCUAACUCUGUGCCAGCCGCCGCCGUAAUAC
rnacentral:rRNA from 1 species